rnacentral:misc_RNA from 1 species
CUGCACACAAGCAUCGCAGUGAGGUUCCACUUUGCACCCACACGCGCACCAGUAGCCAUACACCAGCUCACUCAGCCAACCACACUCGAGGAUCGUGUUUCUGCCGCUGCGCACCGGCAGAGCGACGCACACGAGCCAGAAGAAGCUCAGCAGCACCCGGCCUCUUUCUUUCCUUGCAUCUUUCUCCUCUGCCGCUGUGCUUCCCCCUGCGCAUCGGUGAACACCGUCACGGCUCUCCCUGCUCUCUUUCUCUCAUUGCUCAACUUAGAAGUCCGCCGCCUUUCGUCCUCCAUCUCUGCGAAACGCGUUUCUCUUGCCUCGUUGCUCUUUUUUUUCUCUGCUGUCACUGUCCAUCGCAUCACGGGACCCCUCCCCUCCCCCUCCCCCCUCCCCCUCCCCCCACACACACUUGAUUGGUUUUCCUUUCUGAAGUCUGGCAGCGUUGUCACUCCCCCCUCCCCCUCCCCUCUCCCUCCAUCUGUUGUGUGUGUGUGUGUGUGUGUGUGUGGACAGCGAAUCCACACGCGGCCCCUGCUGCUGCUGCUUAGACUGGCGAGCUCUUGCCUGCUUUGGCAGUGUACCCCAAAAAAAAGCUACUCUCGAACACAGCUUUCAUUUAGAGGCUCAAUUCGCGCGAUCCUUCUCGGGCCUUGACUCUGCUGUUCGGCCUCCUGCCCCGGUUUCUUCGGUCUGUUGGCUUCUGUUGCCUCCUGCGCCGUGUGCGGCGUGUGAAUUUUGCCUGAGAAGGUUGUGCGUCGCUCCGCAUUGUGCUGACUGCAUAUCCACGACUCCCACCCGCACCCCGCCUCAACCACAUCACACACGCGCACAUGUCAACCAUGCAGACAUGCAUCUCUCGCCAUCACACGUCGAAGCUCACACUGGUAGGCACGUAUGUGGGCUCGAAGGUGGCCAAGGCCGUGUUGAUGUCCGCCGCGGCCGGGAAGCUGACGCCGGAGAUCGUAGGCGAGGCGCUUAUGUCUUCGUCGACGAUUCGCGGACACGUGCAGCGAGAGGCGGUGCGGCUACUCGUCGUCCGCAUCUCCAUGCGCGCGCCGCAGCAGCUGCAAUGGCUUCUAAACCUCAUCGGCGACUGCGCCGGAAGCCUCUCUGCCACCGAUGCGUUGAGCUCUCUGGCGAAGCGGUCCCUCUUCUAUCAAGUAACCUCGUUUGGUCUCCACGGCUCGGCCGCCUCGGCAAUAACAACGGCCGCGCUACAGAUCGGAAUGACCACCUGCACCCUUCUCACCAGCAACGCCGCCUUAUGGCGUGACCAGGACAGCCGCAUGUCGCUUCGGCAAUACCGCUACGAGCUGCUCACUUCUCUGUACACAAGCGUCGGCACCGUUGCCGGCGGCGCAGCAGGAGCGGCGGUGGGAUCAAUGGUGAUGCCAGGUAUUGGGACUGCGUUUGGAUCUGUGCUCUGCUCCGUUGGCGGAGGCUACGUUCCAGGUUAUCUGCGAGACAAGAAGGGCCCGGACGACCGUCGCCGCCAGCAGGCGACGGCGCUUCGCCGCUUCACCCCACUGCGGAUGCACGAUACGCAGGACGGCGCCGUGUUCAUGUCCAUGGAGGAGCUCGCCGAGGCGUCGCCCAUCGCUCCGGCAUCUGCAGCCGCACAGGUGAGCGAAGCGCUAAAGGCGAUGCAAGAGCUGCAGGAUACCGGUGAUACCAGUGCGAGAGAUGGUGGCGCGGCGAAGGCCACGGAGGUGGAUUCUGAAAAUGGUGACGCAGAGGUGGGCGACGAACCGGUAUGGCUAGACUUUGUCCGCUCCGAGACGCCUGGUACUAUAUCGCUGACGGAGUCGUCCGCGGACACUAAGGCGAGCAUCGAUGGCGAGGACGGCAGCCAAGCGCCGCUCAUGCGCAGCUGCCUGCGGUUCAGCCCGUCGCUGGCGGUGCUUUCGAAGAAGGGAAGCAUUCACGGUGAUUGUAGCAGUGGGGCGCAGUCAAGCGGAACCUCCUUCCAGGAAGCAGAUCCCGUCAGUGCUGACGCUGCGAUGAUCACCUCUCUCUCCUCCGCUCCCUCGUCGUUCUGCGACGCAGUCGAUGCAGAGACCGCGACGACGGCAGCAGAGCGCUUUGAGGGCCGCGCGAAGUACGUGACGGCGUCAACGGCAGAGGAGCUCCAACGGGAGCUGGAGAAGUGUGGCGGGGACAGCGAUGUACUGUUUUUGUUUGCGUAACGUGCGCAUGCGCGGGCGAGACCGAUGCGGCGCGCUAAAGCAACGGGCGCCUCCUUGUGCGUACAUGGCGGACAGCCAUGCCUUGGUAGAUGUAUGUUGCAUGCUUAUGUGUCGUUGAUGAGUGCGACGCAGACACGCAAGGCUUGCGACCUUGCAUAUACGUCUCUCGUUUUCUCCUGUGAGGUUUCGCGCCUUGAUUCUGUACCCGAAACGGGCAGGGAGGGAACGAGCGCACACUGCUGGGCGGUGCUGCAUCCAGCUGCUUCUUUGGCGCCCACUGGUUCAUGUAUCUGCGCAUGUCUGUGUAUUUGCGUGCGUUUCUUCUCGGUUCUCAUCACGUUUCGCGACACCAGUGCUGUGAUAUCAGGACACAUGCGUUUGUGCCUGUGCACGGUGUGGUUUACUUUCUGCUCUCUCUCAUGUGCGUGACCUCUUUUUGCCUUUGAUUUUUGUUCCAACCCGCCGCUGUCUCCGCCUGCCUGUAUGUCUGCGAGUGCUCAGUGUACCUGCUAGCCGCUGGCGUUGCCCACCGCUGUACGCGCGUCUGUGUGUGCGUGUGUGUGUGUGGUGGGGUAAUUCCGCGUCCACGUCCGCUUUCGUUUGGGCUCUCUUUCUCUCUCUCUGCCUCUCUCUCUCUCUCGGCUUUUUUUUUGUGUUGUCUCCCGCCACCAGUGCUCUCUUUUUUAUUUUCAAAGAGCAGGGAGGCAAGGAAGGAGCCGCAGAGGAGGCGCAUGCGCACCCGUCCACACUGCGGCUCACCUGCGUGUCCUACUCGGAUACAAGCCUACGGACACAUGCGCACGAGAGCGAAGCGAAAAACGGUGCUUGCGUGUCUGUGCGUUUGCCUUUCUGUAUCCUUUCUUUCGCUGCAUGCGCGCGUGUGUGCUCGCCCCUUCCGUCUUUGCGUGCCGAGGCUAUCUCGUGCUCCUUCUUGCUUACCGACACGGCGGUUGCUGUUGCCAUGUUUCUCUUUGUUGUUGUGUCAUCGUUUGCCGUGCGUGCGUGUCUGUGCUCUCCUCCUUUUCCUUCCUCAUCUCACGUGUUUGGUCUGUAGACUCGCUCCAAGCUGAUUUCUGCCACCGCGAUCAUCACCUUCGUCUUCCUUCAUUAUUCUUCCUGUUCCUGCUGUUCCUGCUUCGUGUCCAGUGCUCUUUCUUCACCAACUGCGUGCUCAUACACAGUUUUACUGCCAGGGGGAGAGGGGAUCUGCCAUGGACUGCUGCACGUACUCAUGCCUGCGUGAACGUGUUCGUUUUCGGCGGUUACGUCCGACACGUGACCAAGGGCAGGAGGAGAGGGCCAGAGUGUCGCAGACCGACACACGCACGCACACACACACGCACACGCACGCGCCAAUGUCAUCGCAGCAUCACAUACAAAAGGAAGAUGAGAAACUCGACGCGUCGACCAUGCCUUCCUCGGACCCCCUCCUCUCUUCGCCGAGCGUCGGGCGUUGAGUGGGGAUCGGGGACGGAGAAAGAUGGAGAAGGCGGAGAUGAGAGAGAGAGAGCUCAAGCAGCACUUUCACACGAGCCAUCUUUUACGCGUGCACCCUCCUUCUCUUCCUCUUUCCUCGGCCACCUCUGCCCGUGUGUGUUAAUCCACCGCUUCCUUUACUGGCACUGGUGGUACCCUCCAUUCUUAGCCAGAGAGAGUGCGUGCGUGUGUGUGUGUGUGUCUGUGUGUCGAAGUCCGUGUGAAG